GUAGGCAUAAUUUAAUAAACAUACUAGAUUGUGAUUCUAGAAACAGAGGUUAAAACCCCCUUGCCCACC
rnacentral:tRNA from 1 species